rnacentral:siRNA from 1 species
UUACGGUGGCGGCCUAAGCCC